rnacentral:misc_RNA from 1 species
UGGUUUUGGCGUUGCCGUAGC